rnacentral:lncRNA from 1 species
CUGCAGUUCAUCCCUGGAAGCUUCCGUGGCUCAGCGAUUGGUAGAAAGAUUCAAUGCAUUUUUAAUGCUGCAGGUCUCAGCAGCACCACCCGUUCUGCAACCACAGGCACUUUUGUCUUCCUUGUAACAGGCAGCAUAUCAAAUGGUCAGUGCAACACUUUGAUCAAGUAACUGACAUAUAUUUUGUUGUGAAACAGAAGUAAACCAUUGUCUUCCCUCUACUCAUUCUUCCAGGUUCUCUGGAUUCUCCAGUCAGUAGACUGACCACAAAUGGGUCAGUGGACUUAAGCAACCCUAACAGCACAGACGUUUCAGUAAUAACACCUAGUACAAAUGCCACUGCAUCUAAUACCACAGCAACAUCAACCACCACUGCGGCUUCUACGAACUUGACCCAGACGCAUCCUCCUAACAUGACCACCAACGUGACCCAAAUGGGUCACCUCAACAUGACCACCAACCUGACCCAGACACACCCUCCCAACAUAACCACCAACCUGACCCAAACACACCCUCCCAACAUAACCGCUAACCUGGCCCAGACACGCCCUCCCAACAUAACUGCCAACCAGACCCAGACAAGCCCUCCCAACAUAACUGCUAACCUGCCCCAAACACACCCUGCCAACAUCACAAACUUGACCCAGACACGGCCUCCCAAUAUUACCACAAACCCGACCCAGACAGGCCCACUCACUGUAUCAAACAUUAGAACAACAUCAGGCUCUAAUACUCAGUCACCAGACAUCACUGGCAGGGAUAACUGCAGGAGGGAUAGGGCAUGUUUCUCCGCUCCACCUACCUGUAAUCCAGGUGCAGAGGGUUCCUGCUAUUUUCUCUCCACAAGAGGAGUAAGCGGAAAUGCAGAUAAUUUUACUUUUGAGCUCAGUGGCGAGACAGAUGGUUACAUUGGAGCUGGCCUCUCUCGAG